rfam:Acinetobacter bouvetii DSM 14964 = CIP 107468 genomic scaffold acLrD-supercont1.4, whole genome shotgun sequence.
UCAGUGAAAUCGAAAUCGCCGUGAAGAUGCGGUGUACCCGCGGCUAGACGGAAAGACCCCGUGAACCUUUACUGCAGCUUGACAUUGAACUUUGAUCUUACUUGUGUAGGAUAGGUGGGAGGCUUUGAAACCGCGACGCUAGUUGCGGUGGAGCCAAUCUUGAAAUACCACCCUGGUAAUAUUGAGGUUCUAACUCUGCUCCAUAAUCUGGAGCGAGGACCAUGUCUGGUGGGUAGUUUGACUGGGGCGGUCUCCUCCUAAAGAGUAACGGAGGAGUACGAAGGUGCGCUCAGCGUGGUCGGAAAUCACGCGUAGAGUAUAAAGGCAAAAGCGCGCUUAACUGCGAGACCCACAAGUCGAGCAGGUACGAAAGUAGGUCUUAGUGAUCCGGUGGUUCUGUAUGGAAGGGCCAUCGCUCAACGGAUAAAAGGUACUCUGGGGAUAACAGGCUGAUACCGCCCAAGAGUUCAUAUCGACGGCGGUGUUUGGCACCUCGAUGUCGGCUCAUCUCAUCCUGGGGCUGAAGCAGGUCCCAAGGGUAUGGCUGUUCGCCAUUUAAAGAGGUACGCGAGCUGGGUUUAGAACGUCGUGAGACAGUUCGGUCCCUAUCUACCGUGGGCGCUGGAAAUUUGAGAGGAUCUGCUCCUAGUACGAGAGGACCAGAGUGGACGAACCUCUGGUGUACCGGUUGUGACGCCAGUCGCAUCGCCGGGUAGCUAUGUUCGGAAGGGAUAACCGCUGAAAGCAUCUAAGCGGGAAGCCUACCUCAAGAUAAGAUUUCCCUAGGACUUUAUGUCCUCUAAAGAGCCGUUGAAGACUACGACGUUGAUAGGCUGGAUGUGGAAGUGCGGUGACGCAUGAAGCUGACCAGUACUAAUUGCUCGUGAGGCUUGACUAU